rnacentral:rRNA from 1 species
UUGAACGCUGGCGGCAUGCCUUACACAUGCAAGUCGAACGGCAGCGCGGGAGCAAUCCUGGUGGCGAGUGGCGAACGGGUGAGUAAUAUAUCGGAACGUGCCCGGUCGUGGGGGAUAACGUAGCGAAAGCUACGCUAAUACCGCAUACGAUCUACGGAUGAAAGCGGGGGAUCGCAAGACCUCGCGCGAUUGGAGCGGCCGAUAUCAGAUUAGGUAGUUGGUGAGGUAAAGGCUCACCAAGCCGACGAUCUGUAGCUGGUCUGAGAGGACGACCAGCCACACUGGGACUGAGACACGGCCCAGACUCCUACGGGAGGCAGCAGUGGGGAAUUUUGGACAAUGGGCGCAAGCCUGAUCCAGCAAUGCCGCGUGCAGGAUGAAGGCCUUCGGGUUGUAAACUGCUUUGUACGGAACGAAACGGUGAGCUCUAAUACAGUUUGCUAAUGACGGUACCGUAAGAAUAAGCACCGGCUAACUACGUG